UUCCACAAUAAGAAGUCUCCAUCCGAGCUUCCACGGCAACCGAUCUUCAUCCGAGCUUCUACAAUAAGCAGACUUCAUCCAGACUCCUACAAGAGCUGGACUCAGUCCGAACUUCUACAACAGAAUUGAAUCCCAGACUCCUCCAACGUUCGACCUUCUACAGUGUCCUCAAGACUCAUCCAGUGGAUGAACCUCCACAAUGCCAUCCAAACUCCAUUAUCGGUCGACCCACUGUUGGAUUCCUUAUGGAACCAGGCCUCUCCGACAGA
rnacentral:lncRNA from 1 species